CACCGCCCCUGAGAAGUCAUGGGGGGGGGAGGUAAAUAAAAAUAAAGAGUACAAGCUUUUUUCCUUGGUCCCCAGCUGGCCCCAAGUCUGGACUGGGGCUGGCAAAGCUCUCUGAUGCCCGCUCAUCCUGGAACCUGGGUUCAUUCCAGUGUGUCCUUGGUCAUGCUGACGGAGCUGUCCUGCUGGCAGGCACACAGCUGUGCCCUGGGCAAGUGGCAUCACCGUGAGCCUAGGAAACUGUGGAGUCCUUAAGUUUGACCUGGUUCUCUGAUCAGCUUGAGCACCCACAGACCCCUUGCCUGGACAGUGUGUCCAGUGAUUGAGAAGAGGGUGGUACAGGGAACAAGGAGGCAGGUCCAGCAGGGCAUCACUUGUGGCAUGUCUGUGGUGGGGGCAUCAGCUUUCCGUGGUUCUGCUCCUUCCCACCACUGACACCUGCCUUGUCACUUGUCAGCUGUCAGCUGUGGAACACUUCCCAUGUACCAGGUGCCAUGCUGGUGUGUUCCAGAAGUAGCACAGAGGCUGCCAUGUGAGCUUUGAAGGUUUGUGCUUAUAUUACUUCGCUGCCCCCCAGCCUCCAGGUGAUCAGGACUGUGCACAUUAAGAGCCUGGCUGGCAGACCAGCCUGGGCUUUGGCACUGGUUUCGCUGUGCUGCCCAUGUGGCAACAGGGCCCACAUGCCACCCGAAGCUCAGAGGGCUCUGCAUCCAAAUCCAUUUGCCUUUCGAUGUGCUCCCAUCCACCGCUGGAGUGAACGUUUCUUCCCGCACAGAAGCAUUUUUGUCGGUGUCACACUCUCAUGUCCGUAAAGAUGGCAGGGCCUUUCCAUAUGUCAGUUCCAACCUGACCUGGCUUGUAAUUCUAUAACUGCUAUUGGAGGAGGCAGGGAGGUCCCAGGAAAGGGAGGCCGGCUUUGAGAAGAGCAACUCCAGUUCCUGGUCAGGCUGACAUCCGUGUUCAUUCAAUUAUGCUCUCACCUUUGCAAGUGAAGGAAGCAGUCUUUCAGAGGAUUUAAAAAAAAAAAAGACAUGCUGGGUGACUGGGUUGUAGUAUUCAAUCAAAAGACCUUAAUUAAUGAUGUCUCAAGCUGUGUGAAGCAGGUAUUAAACUAAAAGGUCACCCUUUAGCCAUCAAAAAAAUAUGCUGCACUAAAGUCCUUUAUUAGAUGACUAACAUAUCAAAAGUUAAUAUGUUUUUUUCUGCAUUUUUGUUAAAAUGAAACCAAGCAAUAUCUGCUUCUUAAAUAUCAAGUUGAGGAGUUCGUUUCCAGCCUUUUCAGUAAUGAGUAUAUUUGGCAAACGAGAGCCUGCAGGAUGGAAACUCAUUUCCUGGCACAGAGCAAGUUAGCAUUUGCCACAGCACUAUUUGUCUCUGCAGUGAGAGUCCUCAGACAGCUCAGCAGUCCCAUCCCGUGUGAAGCAUCUGUACCCCUUGGUAUCACAUGUCAGGUCUGUGCUACCCCAUGGGGAUGCAAGGCUGAAUCGGAAAUGAUGGUCCUUGAAUUGAUGCUCUGCUGAUGGACGCUGCAGAGUAAACAGACAGCUUCCAUGUAGGGCGACAGGUGGUGAGGGUCCGAUGGGAUCCCCUGAGGAGGCAGGACUCACCCGCCCUGGGCUGCGAGAGAGCUGUGAGCACGGAACCCAGAACCGAUGGACUGACUCUAGAAUUCAAGGCCCCUUAGAAGAGCGUUUGCUGCAAAAGAUCAAAGGAAGGGACCAAAGCCCUGCCCUCGAGUAGAAGCAACAGGGCCAAUUCCCUCCCGUGGUGGGGGCAGCAUCCUGCUCUAGGAAGCGUGCAUUUCUUGCCACUUCCCCUGCUUGUUCAAUGACUUACUCUACCUGGGCUCAGCUGUGUUGGCAACAAACCCUUAGAAGCGCCUCUGUGGGUGAAGGCAGCCAGGCUGGGAAGCUAGGAGGCCAGCAGGGGCAGCAGGAGAAGCCCCUGGGGCCCUAGACAUGGGGGCAGCCCCCACGGUGGGGAGAGGGGGCUUCAUUCCAAGGGUGGGGCUGGGUAGAGGGACAGAGACGUGCAGGGAAGACACUGAGACUCGGUGUCUAGCACGGGGUGGACACAGCACGGGUGCUGCUGAGGGGGCAGCAGAGAGGCAGGGUAAGAGCCAGAUGCUGCCUGAUAGGGUGGCCGAGAGGGGCCUGCAGGAGGAACACAGGGGAGGGAGGCCUGGGGUGGCGGACGUGAGCUGGGCACUGCUGUUCACAGAACGAGGGAUCGUGGCGGUGGAGGGUGGUUAAUGGGUUCUGAGCAGAAUGGCAAAACCCAAAAGUAAGACCUCCAAGGAGGCCUGGCCUCUCCAUGACUGCCUGGAAAAUGGUAAUGAAAUUUAACCAAAUAUAUCCAAAAUACCAUUUCAGCAUGUAGAUCAAGAUGUAAAUAGUUAUUGAGGAAAUAUUUUACAGUCUUUACUUUUGUAUAGAGUCAUCAAAAUCCAGGCCAUAGUUUGUACUCACAGCACCUCUGGGUUUGCACUGAGUUUCCAUUGCUCAGGCAGCUGAAGCCUGGCAGGGAAGGUGGUGUCUGUGUUGGACAGGGCACAGGUGUAGACAGGUGUGGGCCAUGCAGGGCCUUUCUCCCACCUGUGAUUCUCUGCAUUCGAAAUGUCCGGGAGGACCACGCAGGCCCAGAAAGUUGUUGGGGCUCCUCUGUUCUGUUUGUCACCUCAGUUUUGAGGAACAGAUGGAAAUGAGGGGGGUCUGACAGAGUCCUGCAGCACAGGAGUGACAGCUCCACGCACGCCAAGUUCAAAGACCUUAAACAGGUGAUGGGGGGGGGCGCAAAGAAGGGGCUGCCAAGUGCGGAGCCCAUCUGACCCUCCCUGCUGCCCUGCAGACGUCACUUGGGGAGAGAAACGCCCUACAGAUGGAGUGGCCCAGUAAAUUGGGGAAGGUGGAGCCAUCUCAGAUCUUACAGCAGGUGAGACGAGUCACAGAACCGGGUGUGGAGACCAGCUGCAGUUGUAUUUUUUAUUUCCUCCUCUUUGGAUCAGUAAGCAGGUGGAAUUGCUGCCCCUUCCCUGAAGACGGUGCAUGUACAAUGGCCUCUGUGUUUAGCGGGAUUAAAAAUAACUCAGGGCCCGGCUUCUGGUUCCCGAUGUUGACUCACUUGCGUCAGGUUUGGGGUGUGAGCCUUUGUGAGGAGACGGCCGUAUCUGUACAGAGCAUUUCCAGAGAUGAUGGUUUACCUCUGUGGGGGAAGAGCAGAGGUGGGAAGGAUGAGGAGAGGGGCAGAGAGGAAACCAGGGACCCGCUUUCAUGUAGUUUUCAGAUGAAUUAAAAUCCGUCAGUCUCUGAAGACUCUGGAAUCUGGAAUCACCAGGCCUCGUGGGUCUGUUUGGUCAUCUCACCCCACAGGCAGCCCCUGAGUCACACACCAUCCAAGGCUGGCCCGGCUGGCUGCCCGUGGACUUGGAGAAGACGGCCAGCCACUGGCUGGGGACCUCCGUUCAAAGGCGGAGAGCACUUACCAUGGAGACCUGGGUGUCAUCAAGGAGUCAGCUAGGUUCCAAGAAGGUCACUGCCUCUGCCAGAAAGGUAGUGACUUAGCGCUUCUGGGGGCCCAACUGUUCAUUCUCUCCUCUCCAGACGCAGCUGGAUGGACUCAGACCCACUGCUGAGUCCUGCUGCUCUGGCCACGGCCUCCUGGGAUCCCGGAGUGGCCAUGGGCAUCCGAAAGCACUGCAGUCUCUCCAAGCACCGGGACAAAAAUCAUUAAACACUCCAUUAUAUUUUUUCAGGCAUACAACCCUGAAGAAAUACCCAGUAAAAGAAAAACGGUAGCACCAAAAUUCUUCCAACCAAACUGUUCUGCAAAUGGCAGAGCACUGAGGUGACAAGCAUUGCGGGCUGUUCUCUGGAAGUGGCAGCGCGUCUUAAGUGAAGGCGUAGCCUUAUUUAUCGUCGCUCACAUCCAUGUUAGAGGCCAAGCCGGGAACACACAUACAUUUCAUUUUCUGAUGCAAAAGGCAUUUUGAUGAAUUAAAAUGUCAGAGCCUGCAGCUGUAGGGCUCUUUCUGCAGGCUGACUCUUCUUGGCUGCCUUUCCAGGGGAGCUGGGUAGGAGUCGUUGCUGUGAGGAGGAAACAGCUGGAAGCAUCCAGUGUCCCUUGGCUGUCGGGGCUCCCCGGGCUGGACGUUGGGCCUGGUGGGGGACACGUGUGAGUUGCCAGUUAGGAGAACUCUUCUUUCCUUUUCUUUUUUCAUUGUUCUGUUAUCUCAAGUUCUUUUGUUUGUUUGUUUUAUUGGUGUGAAGGUCAUUUACAAGGUUGUGAUCAUUUCUGCUGUCCAACAAAGUGACCCUGUCGUAUGUAGACACACACCUGUUCUCUUUCAGGUUCUCGUCCCACAAAGAUAAUCACAGAAUAUUGGGUAAAGUUCUCCGUGCCACACAGCAAGUCCCCGUUGGCCAAUGUUGCCCUCUCUUGGUGGGCUUCCUUUUCUAAUCUAGAAGCCUCUGUUUAUUCCCAGUGCCCCAAGAUAGAACAAGCUGAUCCUUUUGAUGUUACAAGAAUGGCUUCUAAGGACAGUGCACAUCUUCAUCACAGGCUCAUGCUCUUUCAUUUCUCAACAACAACCUAGUGACACGAAUGGUGCUGGGCUUGGUAAAAAGCUAAAACCAGUGUAUUCAUAUUCAAUAAGAGAGGUAUGCAAAAUUUUCCGUGGAAAUGCUAAAAAGUCUGAUUUUUUGCACAGAAUUUAAAUAAUACACAUCACACCACAUUCUAGAGCCUGUCAGGAGCCACGUAAUUCCAAAGCUGGCAACUCAGCGUUCGUUCACAGCACUGUCAGUGGCAGAUGGAUACCUGCCCUACUCUGGCCACAGCAUGUGGGUCCCCACUCCCCGGGACUCCAAGGAUGACUUCAGGGACGCUGCAGUGUCAUUCCAGGGCCACUGAAUAGGGCCCUGGAGAUCUUGAGUGCUGACCUGAACUUCAGCUUCCAAAUCUGAAGCCAAAGAGAAGCCACAUCUGAUCUGCGGAAAGAAAACAAAGCACUUCCUUUAAGUGAAAAAGUCAAAGUCCUCAACU
ensembl:lncRNA